AUGUCCCCCAGAAGCGCACAUGGCUGGGUGCGGUUGACCCGGAGCAGAUCAGAUCCUGAGAGCUUCCAGCUGGGCCUGAGGAAAGGCCCCAGCACCUGCCAGACAAGGCAACCUGAAAUUCCAAACCUGUUGACCCUGGACAAGAAGAUCACCUCUCUCCCACUGACGAACAAAUCAGGAUUGCCUCAGGUUGAGUCUCUGAGACAGACCAGACGUCCUGUCAGCCAAACGCCUCCAGGUGAACCAGGAAAUGAUGCUGGUCGCAGAGAGUCAUUUGCAAGAUGUUUCCGGUUGGCAUGUUUGAAGUUACUGAUGGAGGGUGGUCUCCUCCCACCCCCGGAAACGAGUUGUGCCCGUCCGUGAACUCUGCACAGGUGGGCGGCGCUUGCCAAGGUCAUGCCAUCUGUGCCCCUAGAGCUUGGGCCCAGGCCUGGGGGUGUCCACACACCCUCUGCCACCAGUCAGCCCGCAAACGGAAGGUGGGUCACCCCACUAGGCUCCACCUCUGUGGGCCUCACCGGCCCUGCAGGGUGUGGCAAGGACCCACCCUGACGAGAAGCCGGAUGAAGUGAACUUGGAAAUAUUGAUAUUUGGGGGUCUUUUUUCUUGUCCUGCUGGGCAGAUGGACAGGGCCUCCUUCGUUUCCAGGCAGGUCUGGUUACUUUUGGGGAAAGUCUUGAUGGGCCAUCGUUUCGCCCUCUCCUCGUUUUGCACUCGUGCAAUCCCAGGACCCACGCAUGUGAGGGGGGCUUUGAAACGCCCCAAACUGACCCCGAGUCAAGAAAUGGAGAGGGAGGGAGGAGCAAGUAUGUUUGCCCAGAAGGAACGCCCGUGGGGUGGAAGACUGGAGACAAAUAUAGAAGCAGAGGGCUUAUACUUCUGGCAACGACAAAAUAAAGCAAAAAAUAUUGAUG
rnacentral:lncRNA from 12 species